rnacentral:rRNA from 1 species
CAGUAGCCACGGUAAAACGAAGGGGGCUAGCGUUGUUCGGAAUUACUGGGCGUAAAGCGUACGUAGGCGGAUUGUUAAGACAGAUGUGAAAUCCCCGGGCUUAACCUGGGAACUGCAUUUGUGACUGGCGAGCUAGAGUAUGGCAGAGGGGGGUAGAAUUCCACGUGUAGCGGUGAAAUGCGUAGAUAUAUGGAGGAACACCGGUGGCGAAAGCGGCUCUCUGGCUUGUAACUGACGCUGAGGCUCGAAAGCGUGGGGAGCAAACAGGAUUAGAUACCCCCGUAGUCCCUGUCUCUUAUAC